rnacentral:rRNA from 1 species
GAUGAACGCUGGCGGCGUGCCUAACACAUGCAAGUCGAACGGAGAUUACGGACGGAAGUUUUCGGAUGGAAGACUGUAAUUCUUAGUGGCGGACGGGUGAGUAACUCUUGUGCAACCUGCCCUAUACAGGGGGAUAGCAGCUGGAAACGGCUGGUAAGACCGCAUAAGUCGGUUAAAUCGCAUGAUUUGAUCGGGAAAUGAGCAAUCAGGUAUAGGAUGGGCCCGCGUCCGAUUAGCCAGUUGGCAGGGUAAAAGCCUACCAAAGCGACGAUCGGUAGCCGGACUGAGAGGUCGGACGGACACAUUGGGACUGAGACACGGCCCAAACUCCUACGGGAGGCAGCAGUGGGGGAUAUUGCACAAUGGAGGAAACUCUGAUGCAGCGACGCCGCGUGAGUGAAGAAGUAUUUCGAUAUGUAAAGCUCUAUCAGCAGGGAAGAUGAUGACGGUACCUGACUAAGAAGCCCCGGCUAACUACGUG